UUAAUCGAGUGCUGAUGGAACUUGAAGGAGUUCAGGAUAUUUUUUGCAAGUGACAGGAAAUCUAAUUUCCGUCGAGAAAUUCGUUUUUCAUCUAAAAAAAAUUUCAAAAAGUCCCGAAAAAUCGAGUUCUCAAGAGAAAAUUGAAGAUUCGUCGGAGCUUGAAAGUUUGGGAACAAUUGUUUUAGGUGUAUUGUUUGUUUUUGUAGAAUUCAAAUUGUAUCGCAAAAUGUUUGCUCCGCGCAAAUUUUAAACGCACAAUGAGCGCGUCACGUUUUUGUAUUUUGUUUUUUUUUCAAUCGAACCAACGCUGCGCUGGCAUCUUGGUGACGACAGAAAACCUCGAAAUGAUAAAUAUAGAAAGUUUUGUGUUACAAUAUAAAUUAUCGAAUGAAAAUUGUUGAUUCAUGAAUGAAGAACGUGCAACGAAUCUGGAAAAACGGACAACGAUUCACCGAGACUAGAAUGCCACGGAGAGUGAUUUGAUGACGUACGACUCAGGCUGCUUUGCUCUCUUUAUCUUUCCCUCGAACUCUCUCUCUCAACUCUGAAUAGAUAUGGAGAAAGAAUGGAUGUUGAAUGAACAACGAGUCAAUCGACAUGGAACUUUGAGGAUUUUCUAAAACACUGCUUCUUCGCCAAAGUCGCGAUUCGCUUUGGUUCUCAAACGAAAAAUGCGAGCAAUCUUCGCUCGAAAACCAACGACUUGGAGCAGGGAACGAAGGUCUUUUGGCGAAAGUUCAUCGACAGUUUGGAGUGAAAUUCUGGGACGGAAUGUUUUAUGAAAACCCUCAAACUCGUCGUAGGAAAAAUUAAUUGACGUCGUAUCAAGCAUUCUUCACAUCACGCGUCACUGUUUACGUAAUGCGAAUGGAGGGAUAAGCCUCGUGGAGGAAAGAACUUGAGGCAGGGGCAAGAAAAGCGAGGAGGAGCUCCGUGUUCGAGCUUUUUCGCAAUGCACGCGCCGCCUCAUCAACGAUUUUCGUAUUUCCUUCGCGCCAUUCAUAACAAUAUUUUGAACCUCGGUGACGAUUAAUUUGCGGGGAAUUUUCCAUUAUACGGAAAAUUGGACCUCGCGCUAGCUCGGGAACUCUGAAAUCGACGUCGACAACAAUUUUUCAAGGUUUUCUCAUCAGAGUUCAAUAUUUUUGUGAGGAAAAAAUCACUCGGCGGAUACACAAAAUGAUUUUGGAAGAAAAACAAUGGAGAAACGAACAGUUUUUUGAUUGCAUUCUAACGAUUCGAUAAGUUCCUCGGGAAUGGCAGCGCCGCUUAUCCAAAAGUUCCACGAGUUUUGUCCAAUCGCAGAGCCUCGAUUGAUAUUUCCAAUCUCAAUGUUUUUCUAUGGAUCAAACUGUUGACUGAAACGAGUUUCAAGAUAAUUGAAAUUUUUCCACAUUCGGGAAAAGGAGGCGGAAUUUUUUUUCCAAUAUUCGAGUACCGAGCCCUUGGAAAUGAAGUUCCUCGAUAAUUUUUACAUUCGCGUAUAUGGAUAUAUGUGCAGCUUUACAACUGUAACGGUUCGGAUGACCCAACGCAUGUGGGAGCGUCCACUGACGAGGUGAGAUGAGUCACGAGGUUGUCUCAGCUGCAAAUUGCGGCAGCGAACACGGAAAAACUUGGAAAAACGUUUCUUUUCCUUGCUUUUUUAAAUGGAGGAUUAAUUCAACGCGUUUUCGUUGCGUGCACUCUCGAUAAAGAAUUUCGCGUCUCUGGACGCUCAGGGAUUCUUCGAAGAGGAAAUAAAUUGAUAAAAAAAUCCGAACCUUGUUCUCGUUUGUGCGAGAUUAUUCAAUUUUAGUAAUUCUCAGGCUGUUCCACGCCCACGAAGCUAAAGUUUGCA